rnacentral:rRNA from 1 species
GAUGAACGCUAGCGGCAGGCCUAAUACAUGCAAGUCGAACGGUAACAUGAGUAGCAAUACUUGAUGACGAGUGGCGCACGGGUGCGUAACACGUAUGUAAUCUUCCCACAACUGGGGGAUAGCCCGGAGAAAUCCGGAUUAAUACCCCAUAACCCAGCGAGGUGGCAUCACCUUUCUGGUAAAUCUCCGGAGGUUGUGGAUGAACAUGCGUCCGAUUAGCUAGUUGGCGGGGUAACGGCCCACCAAGGCUACGAUCGGUAGGGGUACUGAGAGGUUAAACCCCCACACUGGUACUGAGACACGGACCAGACUCCUACGGGAGGCAGCAGUAAGGAAUAUUGGACAAUGGAGGCAACUCUGAUCUAGCCAUGCCGCGUGAAGGAUGAAGGCGCUAUGCGUUGUAAACUUCUUUUGAACGGGAAAAAACCCCUUUACGUGUAAAGGGUUGAUUGUACCGUUAGAAUAAGGGUCGGCUAACUUCGUGCCAGCCGCCGCAUAAUAC